UCGGGAAUAUUGCGCAAUGGAGGAAACUCUGACGCAGUGACGCCGCGUGCAGGAAGAAGGUUUUCGGAUUGUAAACUGCUUUAGACAGGGAAGAAACAAGACAGUACCUGUAGAAUAAGCUCCGGCUAACUACGUGCCAGCAGCCGCGGUAAUACGUAGGGAGCGAGCGUUAUCCGGAUUUAUUGGGUGUAAAGGGUGCGUAGACGGGAGAACAAGUUAGUUGUGAAAGCCCUCGGCUUAACUGAGGAACUGCAACUAAAACUAUUUUUACUUGAGUACUGGAGAGGAAAGUGGAAUUCCUAGUGUAGCGGUGAAAUGCGUAGAUAUUAGGAGGAACACCAGUAGCGAAGGCGACUUUCUGGACAGAAACUGACGUUGAGGCACGAAAGUGUGGGGAGCAAACAGGAUUAGAUACCC
rnacentral:rRNA from 1 species